UACGGAGGGUGCGAGCGUUGUCCGGAAUCAUUGGGCGUAAGGGCGCGUAGGUGGCCCGGUCAGUUCGUGGUGAAAGCGCGGGGCUCAACCCCUGCGUCGGCCAUGAAUACUGCCGCGGCUGGAGCACUGUAGAGGCAGGCGGAAUUCCGGGUGUAGCGGUGGAAUGCGUAGAGAUCCGGAAGAACACCGGUGGCGAAGGCGGCCUGCUGGGCAGUUGCUGGACACUGGAGGCGCGACAGCGUGGGGAGCAAACAGG
rnacentral:rRNA from 1 species